rnacentral:rRNA from 1 species
GUCUCUCUUGAGUGGAUCCUGAGUACGACGGAGCACGUGAAAUUCCGUCGGAAUCUGGGAGGACCAUCUCCUAAGGCUAAAUACUCUCUAGUGACCGAUAGUGAACCAGUACCGUGAGGGAAAGGUGAAAAGCACCCCGGAAGGGGAGUGAAAUAGAACCUGAAACCGUGUGCUUACAAGUAGUCAGAGCCCGUUAAUGGGUGAUGGCGUGCCUUUUGUAGAAUGAACCGGCGAGUUACGAUUUGAUGCAAGGUUAAGCAGUAAAUGUGGAGCCGUAGCGAAAGCGAGUCUGAAUAGGGCGUUUAGUAUUUGGUCGUAGACCCGAAACCAGGUGAUCUACCCUUGGUCAGGUUGAAGUUCAGGUAACACUGAAUGGAGGACCGAACCGACUUACGUUGAAAAGUGAGCGGAUGAACUGAGGGUAGCGGAGAAAUUCCAAUCGAACCUGGAGAUAGCUGGUUCUCUCCGAAAUAGCUUUAGGGCUAGCCUCAAGUGAUGAUUAUUGGAGGUAGAGCACUGUUUGGACGAGGGGCCCCUCUCGGGUUACCGAAUUCAGACAAACUCCGAAUGCCAAUUAAUUUAACUUGGGAGUCAGAACAUGGGUGAUAAGGUCCGUGUUCGAAAGGGAAACAGCCCAGACCACCAGCUAAGGUCCCAAAAUAUAUGUUAAGUGGAAAAGGAUGUGGCGUUGCCCAGACAACUAGGAUGUUGGCUUAGAAGCAGCCAUCAUUUAAAGAGUGCGUAAUAGCUCACUAGUCGAGUGACACUGCGCCGAAAAUGUACCGGGGCUAAACAUAUUACCGAAGCUGUGGAUUGUCCUUUGGACAAUGGUAGGAGAGCGUUCUAAGGGCGUUGAAGCAUGAUCGUAAGGACAUGUGGAGCGCUUAGAAGUGAGAAUGCCGGUGUGAGUAGCGAAAGACGGGUGAGAAUCCCGUCCACCGAUUGACUAAGGUUUCCAGAGGAAGGCUCGUCCGCUCUGGGUUAGUCGGGUCCUAAGCUGAGGCCGACAGGCGUAGGCGAUGGAUAACAGGUUGAUAUUCCUGUACCACCUAUAAUCGUUUUAAUCGAUGGGGGGACGCAGUAGGAUAGGCGAAGCGUGCGAUUGGAUUGCACGUCUAAGCAGUAAGGCUGAGUAUUAGGCAAAUCCGGUACUCGUUAAGGCUGAGCUGUGAUGGGGAGAAGACAUUGUGUCUUCGAGUCGUUGAUUUCACACUGCCGAGAAAAGCCUCUAGAUAGAAAAUAGGUGCCCGUACCGCAAACCGACACAGGUAGUCAAGAUGAGAAUUCUAAGGUGAGCGAGCGAACUCUCGUUAAGGAACUCGGCAAAAUGACCCCGUAACUUCGGGAGAAGGGGUGCUCUUUAGGGUUAACGCCCAGAAGAGCCGCAGUGAAUAGGCCCAAGCGACUGUUUAUCAAAAACACAGGUCUCUGCUAAACCGUAAGGUGAUGUAUAGGGGCUGACGCCUGCCCGGUGCUGGAAGGUUAAGAGGAGUGGUUAGCUUCUGCGAAGCUACGAAUCGAAGCCCCAGUAAACGGCGGCCGUAACUAUAACGGUCCUAAGGUAGCGAAAUUCCUUGUCGGGUAAGUUCCGACCCGCACGAAAGGCGUAACGAUUUGGGCACUGUCUCAACGAGAGACUCGGUGAAAUCAUAGUACCUGUGAAGAUGCAGGUUACCCGCGACAGGACGGAAAGACCCCGUGGAGCUUUACUGUAGCCUGAUAUUGAAAUUCGGCACAGCUUGUACAGGAUAGGUAGGAGCCUUUGAAACGUGAGCGCUAGCUUACGUGGAGGCGCUGGUGGGAUACUACCCUAGCUGUGUUGGCUUUCUAACCCGCACCACUUAUCGUGGUGGGAGACAGUGUCAGGCGGGCAGUUUGACUGGGGCGGUCGCCUCCUAAAAGGUAACGGAGGCGCUCAAAGGUUCCCUCAGAAUGGUUGGAAAUCAUUCAUAGAGUGUAAAGGCAUAAGGGAGCUUGACUGCGAGACCUACAAGUCGAGCAGGGUCGAAAGACGGACUUAGUGAUCCGGUGGUUCCGCAUGGAAGGGCCAUCGCUCAACGGAUAAAAGCUACCCCGGGGAUAACAGGCUUAUCUCCCCCAAGAGUUCACAUCGACGGGGAGGUUUGGCACCUCGAUGUCGGCUCAUCGCAUCCUGGGGCUGUAGUCGGUCCCAAGGGUUGGGCUGUUCGCCCAUUAAAGCGGUACGCGAGCUGGGUUCAGAACGUCGUGAGACAGUUCGGUCCCUAUCCGUCGUGGGCGUAGGAAAUUUGAGAGGAGCUGUCCUUAGUACGAGAGGACCGGGAUGGACAUACCUCUGGUGUACCAGUUGUCGUGCCAACGGCAUAGCUGGGUAGCUAUGUGUGGACGGGAUAAGUGCUGAAAGCAUCUAAGCAUGAAGCCCCCCUCAAGAUGAGAUUUCCCAACUUCGGUUAUAAGAUCCCUCAAAGAUGAUGAGGUUAAUAGGUUCGAGGUGGAAGCAUGGUGACAU